AGUCACGAUCCACAUGGAAUAGAAGAAGAAGGAGGGGGGUGAUUUCGGUGUUUCAAAAUGACGCAUGCGUUUUCGGACGCGCAAAAGGGAUGUCUGAAGAGGGGGGGUUAAAAGCCACGAUAGUCCAACGUAUCGCAGUUCUAUUCCGAUGUUUGUCCGCCUGGUAUCAUCAGAAACGAUUCGUCGAGAAAACGCAACCACGAGGUCGACGGGACAAUUUUCUCGUGCAUACAUUACCCCACAAUCAACAUAAAUAUAGUCUCUCGUGAUGGGACAUUUCUGUCAUCGUUAUAUUGUCAAGAAAAUAAUAUUCCAAAAAAUUGUUUUCAAUCUACUUUUCAUAAAAAGAUUGGAAAAAGAAAAAGUGGGAAGAUUAAAGAGCAGAGGAAUUUAUUUGAUAUUCAAUUUAUUACGAGGGUGAGAUUCAAGAAGCUGUGAAUGGCAACAGAGAAAUUUAGGGGAAGACAGGUAGGUGGAAGUUUCCUCCUGAUCUCCCUUCAAUGCCAAAUCAAGGUAUCGCCCGAACGGUUAUAUCGACUUUCGGUUAAUAUAUUGAGAAAACUUUUAUUUCAAAUAACAUUUAUGAGAUUAUAGAUAAUAUUCAAUUCAUAUCACUUAAUUUAACAGUUUUCAUAAUAAAAUAAAUUCUCAA